AAUAAUAAGAAAUAUGAAAAGUUACUUGACAACGCGGAUUCGGUUGGUUGACGACUUUUAAUUAAUAAACAUUCAAACUCGCCUCAACACCUCAAAAGUGGGAAGGACUCAUUUUUCCUACAAACUUCUAAGUCAAGUUUUGUCAAACUCGCUUGAAGCUUUUUUAUGUCUUUGUCUCCUAUAAAUGCUCCCAAAUUAACUCUGACAGCUAUUGACUUAAAAAAUGCAUGACUUCUAUUUGCCAGUGAAUUCAUGUCAUAUACUCGCAUCAAAAGUUAUGUAGCAUUUGUAUUGGCAGAAAACAUAAUUCCGAAUAUGAUAAUCAAAUGAACCAGUUUGUGUACUUGGUUUGCAAGUUCGUGCUCAUAAUUUGUAGUAACUUUUCUGUGUCCCUUUAGAUGCAUUAACUCCCCGCAUGAGCCCAAACAAAAUAAUUAGGAUAAUUUUCGCAAUUGGCAGAGAACCAUCAAUACAACCAUAGCAGACCGCGGAGACACACGGGGUGCAUAGAGCCUCGGGCGCUGCCCACGACUCAUCCUGGAGCAUUCGAAACCCCCGUAGUGUGAACUACCCUCUCCUGGUGUAGAUGAAAACAAGCCAGAUAUGCUCAUAUCUACAAGUCUGACCCACAGCUUCCAGGGAAAUGAUCGGAACCAUCUCUCCAGUUCGAUGACCGUCAGGGUCUAAUCUGGAAAGUAAUCUGUCCCUUCCGGGACUCUACAUGCGACCCCAAUCACUCCGAUGCUUCCACGCGCAUGUGACGGCCAGUCCUCCCUCCCUUCCAGAGUUCUGGACCAUUUCCCACACUUUCCGUGAAGAGAUGACUGCAGGACACAGAGCCCUCAGGUUCGGUUCCCAGAACGCCUAACUGCAGCUUUCGGGGACCACAGCCGACCCCAGCGGACCCCGCCUUCCCUCCCUCGCCUGUCCCCUCAAGCCUCGCCCCUACGGUUUCCUGUCCACCCACCGCCCAUUCACCGUCCAGUGCGUCACUCUGGGGGAGCUCUGGCUACUAUUUUUUUUUUUUUUUUUAAUCUUGUCAACUGUGAUCAGCGUCGCCGUUAGCGGCUAAAGUUGUCUGUCUGGGCCACGAGGCUGGGGAAGACGACAUGGGGGUGACACGGAGUAGGGCCAUCGCCUACAGCUGGGUCAAGGAGCUCUGGGCGCUCACCCCUUCGAAGUUCGGGGCUACUUUCCGCGGGAGGCUGUGGACGUCCGCUGAAGACAGUCGCUUGUAAGAACCCCGGCGUCUGGGGUGAAGCAGAUCCUUCCCCAGAUACACUUUGUGAAGUAAUAGAUGGGGCAGCCUACAGAGUGGGUAUUUAAUUUUUAAACAAAUGGGGUAUGCUAUGUGACAUUAGGGAAGGAGCCUGAGGGUGCCAUAUAGGAAACACCGUGGGAUCGAUCACUCUGACCAUCGUAGAGAAGUUGGAAAGGGACUUCUUCCGUUCACAUUUGCGGCAAACACCAUGAUUGGCAGAUACAAGGUCCAUGCCCAACCCUCUUCUUCCACGUCCUUCUUUCCAAUAGACAGUGUGAGCUAAAAACCUCCGUUUCCCGGCCUCGCUUGAAGUUCGAGUCACCACGUGACAGUGCUGGCACCAUCGCAUCCACUUCCUCUUCCCUCCAGCCUAAAUAGAAAGUGGAUGUCACCGUACCUGGAAGCACAGAAGCCCUCUUUCAAUCAUGGGGGGGACGUGGAUGAGGACAAAAGCCACCGCACUAAGAAUGACGGUGUAAAGCGGUGACGAGAGACGGGAUCCUUGGUGUCUUUGUUAGGCUGCUGCAUUAUCUUCAGACAUCUCUUGGGUGAGAGCAAUAAUCUUAGCCAUUUAAGCCACUGUCAUUAGCAACAAAAACAUGCCUUCGAGACCAUUCGAACUAACUGUUCUCUUGAGUCCAGGAGCCAGCACCACAGUAAAGUGGAUUAGACAGAACACAGAGGCACUAAACAGAGCACAGCAAAGACAGAACAGUGCCAAGAGAGAAUUCUCCAGCAAAUGGUGGCUGUCGCAGGCAUUGCUUGUCCGCAGUGUGUAUUAGAGAAGAUGGACCCUCUCGAAAAUCUGGCAAUAGAAACAGAAAUAGCUAGGAAAAUAGUUGACCAGAUUCCUCUCCUUAAAGUCUUCACUCUGAGAAAUUGAAAAAGGACAGAAAUUCUCAGCAUUUAUCAAAUAUCCUGAUAUAAGAAGGGUCCCCUUGAAUACAGACCAGCUAAAGAGAGACCGUAGGAGGUGUCAGGUGCCAAAGAGGGGGUAACAGGAGAGGCCGGUAACACAGCUGGGGGAGAGAGGUCGCUUUCACUGCCUCAGUUCCCUAUUGGAAUAUAUCGCUUGUUCCUCAACAAAUGCUGUGAGAUGCCCCGAGAAGCGCUCCGCUAACUGAAAACCUAACCACAGUCGUCAGCAGAGACGGACAUAAAAUAAACGAUUUGAGAUCAUGGAACUCUCAUGGAAAGAAGGUGUACACAGUCCGCAGUCUGCUCCCAGGAGUGCUGUCUGCAUUAUUCAUUUAAAGUUCGAGCAUUACUUUGGAAAUAUAAAGUGCUCUAUAAUUUCUCCAUA